UCAGCCACCCUCCAGGGUGGGGCCCUAUCCUCCUCCCACUGCCUUCUCCGGCCCUCACCACCCCGGGCAGGCACUGCUUCCCAGAGAGCCACCCGGGUCAGGAGUAAAGUGGCCUCUGUGGUCAAAGUCUGAAAAAGUUGCCCCCACACCUGCCUAACGGUGCACAGGGCUUUCUGGGGGGGUAGGGAGGAGGCAGGCAAGACUCUGGCACCUUUUCUGAGUCACAUCCCUUCUACCGGGGCCCUGAGCCUGCAGGACGGAAGGAUGUGGCCUUGCCUGUCAGAGGGUUCUGAGAACACGGAAGGCUCCUGAGUCCUCGAAGGGCAUCCUCAGUGGGAGAGUGGCCCUGAGCAGAGAGGAGCGUAAGGGGCAAGGCACACCCCUUGAGAGUGAGAAAGGGCAAAAGUAGCCGGUCUCACAGAGCAGACAUGUGCUUCCCGUCCUGACCUGCAACGUGCUGCCUCCUUACAAGUGCUACCAGAUCACCUGGUUCAUAUCCCGGAGCCCCAGCCCGGACCAUGUGGUAAAAGUGGCCGAGUACAACAAAGUGAAGCUGAGCAUCUUCAUUGCCCGCCUCUAUCACGACUGUGACCCGGGAUUCCAGCACGGGCUUCGCAGACUGCAGGACACAGAGGCACGCGUGCACAUCAUGUCUUCUAAGGAAUUUGAACACUGUUGAGAAGACUGUGUACAAGAGAGAUGUGCCAUGUCAGCCUUGCAAGGGACAGCGUGAAAACUACCCAUCUCCGGUCACCAAGUUGCAGGGUAGCCUCACAGCUGAUGCCCUCGCUCCUCUCGGCUCCUGCUCAGCCUCCUGAUGCCUUCCCUCUGUCCUGGAUCAGAUUCACCCCUGCCUGGGCCUUCUGAGCUGCUCCUGCCCUGAGUACCACCCCUCAGUGCCCCCCACCUCACUGCCUCUUCCCCACUUUCCUGACCCUGCCUGUGAGAGGCUGCUUUCUGCCUCCAUAGCAACCUCUAUCCACCCCCCAGUCUCCUUCCUCCCAUCCUGGGGGCCCCUAGCCUGGCUCCUUCCAUCUCCUCAUCAUACCUAAAUCUUGUCAUUGAACUGAUAUAAAUAGGUAGUAGAAAUAUACAUAAGUGUGAAAGUUAAGUUUUGAGAAACACCUUUUGUAAAAAACCGAUGGUAAGUAUUGGGUCAUUCUUGUCACACCCAACUCAAACAGAGGCCAGGAGCCAGGAGGGGAAACCACUCAGUUUGCAAAACGUCGCUUCCACAAGCCUGAUGGCUGAAACUGCUCACUGUACCCUGAAACCAGCUUUACCUACAGCUUCUGAGAUAAACUGCUGCAACUCUGGGACCCACGAUGCCUAUCACAGUGGCUCAUCAAUGGAACCUGCCGGCUCCCAACCCUUCCUAGGGCCCAUGAACUCUCUGAAAAGAGGAACAGAAAUAUUUCUCCUUUUUGUAAAAUCUUUAACCUUCCCUUUGUUCUUCAUGUACACGCUGAACUGCAAUUCUUCUUCCCAAAUAAAACAUUAAAUUUA
rnacentral:lncRNA from 1 species